rnacentral:rRNA from 1 species
UUGGAGGCAGUCUGGUGCCAGCAGCCGCGGUAAUUCCAGCUCCAUAGCGUAUAUUAAAAUUGUUGCAGUUAAAAAGCUCGUAGUUGAAUUUCGGGAUCAGAUUGUCGGUCGUGCCUCGGUACGCACUGGCAUUAUUGGUUCCUACCUUCUGAAGAACCGCGAUGUCAUUAAUUUGGUGUCGUGGGGAAUCAGGACUGUUACUUUGAAAAAAUUAGAGUGUUUAAAGCAAGCUAACGCUUGAAUACAUUAGCAUGGAAUAAUGAAAUAGGACGUUCGAUCCUAUUUUGUUGGUUUCUAGGAUUGACGUAAUGAUUAAUAGGGAUAGUUGGGGGCAUUAGUAUUCAAUUGUCAGAGGUGAAAUUCUUGGAUUUAUUGAAGACUAACUACUGCGAAAGCAUUUGCCAAGGAUGUUUUCAUUAAUCAAGAACGAAAGUUAGGGGAUCGAAGACGAUCAGAUACCGUCGUAGUCUUAACCAUAAACUAUGCCGACUAGGGAUCGGAUGAUGUUAAUUUUUUAAUGACUCAUUCGGCGCCUUACGGGAAAC